AACGAACGUUAGCGGUGUGGAUUAGGCAUGCAAGUCGAGCGUGAAAGUCCGCAAGGACGAGUAAAGCGGCGAAAGGGUGAGUAACACGUAACCAAUCUAUCCACGAGACCGGAAUAACCGGCGGAAACGCUGGCUAAUGCCGGAUGGUCCUGUCGGGAGGCAUCUCCCGACACGUAAACGGUGGCGCAAGCUGCUGCUCGAGGAGGGGUUGCGGGCGUAUCAGCUAGUUGGUGGGGUAACGGCCUACCAAGGCGAUAGACGGCUAGCUGGUCUGAGAGGACGACCAGCCACACUGGGAC
rnacentral:rRNA from 1 species